UGCAGUGAAGGUUGACGCAAACGGAUUACCAUUGAAUCCUGAUGGUAUUCAUCUCACAACUGCAGCACAAAUUCGACUUGCUAAUAUGUUGGCUGACGCAUUUCUUUCUUCCAACUUUACAGCACCCACCAAAACUGAAUAUCACAUGAUAUGAUGUCACAACUAUAAAAUCAAGGAUUUAUUCAUUUUGAAAUUGUUUCAUCUUUCAGACUUAUUAUUUGUUGAAUAAUUUUUCUAAAAGUCUGCUUUAAUUUAAUUUGUAGAAUGAGCAACAUAACUGAAUUAGGAAGAUGACCUUACAAGAAUCGAUAAGACGACAUAAAUGAUAACCUUCCGUUGAGUGAUACUUUUUUUAUUACUCUCUUCAUUCCUUUUAAUAUGUCAUCCCUUUCUAUAAAUAGUUGGACCAUAUUACUUAUCAUUUCAUAAUAUUAAUGCAUAAAUUAUAAUAUUCUUCGUCUUAUACCCCUGAUAGAGUAGUUAAUUCAUUUUGAAAAUAUAUAAUUUGACCAACCUAGAAAAACUAAUAAGUAAUUAAUAUUAUUCAUUGAAGUACUUCAUACAUUGAUUAAUUACUCUCUCCAUUCACUAUUCUAUAAAAUAUAAUUUUGAAAAUAAAUUCAAAAUUUAAAUAGUCAUCAUAAUGCAUUUUCAUUUUUGAAAUCUAGCAUAUUCAUCAUUUAUUGAAAAGUUCACUUCAGAAAAUAUUGAAUAAGGGUAGAAGAGUAAAAUAACUUAAUUUCUUAAUGCAAGUGCAAUCUAAAAAGGUGACAUAUAAAAAGGAACGAAGGGAGUAUAUGUAUAUAUAUAUAUUUUAAAAAUCAUAUAAAUCAAGUUCAAAUACAAUCAACGCAACAUCGUUUUUGAGAAUUGUAGUAAAUAUUAAUUAGUAAGGAGUUGAAGAGGAAAUCGAUUUCACGGCAUAUGUGAGAAUUUUUAGACGUCCAAUGUAAGAUUGACCCAAACUCCAUACCUUAGAUCUUGAAGAUUACCUAGAAUUUGCAAGUAUUAAAGGCUCCUCUCCUCCCACGAAUCGUGAUUCUCCAGCUCUUUCUGUUCGCCACCAAUUUUCCAGCAAUGCUUCCUUCUGUGUUGCUGGAAGUUGAUAGUGAUGUUUCAUCUACUUGCUUAAUGGAGGCUCUUUCUAUUUUUGUCUUUGUGUCUUUUUG
rnacentral:lncRNA from 1 species